ACCAUACAUACAAGAGAGAUAGUGAAUUCUUAAUGCUAUAGGCAGGGGAUCUCACACCCGUGGCCAAUCAACAACUAAGCCUAUUUACUGUCAAAAACAAAAUCGCUAACAAAUCAACCUUUUGGGCAAAAAACAUCACCAACAGAAGAGCCUUUAAGAGCA